rnacentral:rRNA from 1 species
UUACACGGAAUCCCUCGGGAGGAAGUGUGAAUGACUGAGUGGCGGACGGGUGAGUAACGCGUGGGCAACCUGCCCCGUACCGGGGGAUAACAGCCGGAAACGGCUGCUAAUACCGCAUAUGCUUUGCGGGCCGCAUGGCCCGCAAAGCAAAACUCCGGUGGUACGGGAUGGGCCCGCGUCUGAUUAGCUGGUUGGCGGGGUAACGGCCCACCAAGGCGACGAUCAGUAGCCGGCCUGAGAGGGCGGCCGGCCACAUUGGGACUGAGACACGGCCCAGACUCCUGCGGGAGGCAGCAGUGGGGAAUAUUGCACAAUGGGGGAAACCCUGAUGCAGCGACGCCGCGUGGGCGAGGAAGUACCUCGGUAUGUAAAGCCCUAUCAGCAGGGAAGAAACAGGACAGUACCUGACUAAGAAGCCCCGGCUAACUACGUGCCAGCAGCCGCGGUAAUACGUAGGGGGCAAGCGUUAUCCGGAUUCACUGGGCGUAAAGGGAGCGCAGGCGGCAUGGCAAGUCUGAUGUGAAAACCCGGGGCCCAACCCCGGGAGUGCAUUGGAAACUGCCAGGCUGGAGUGUCGGAGGGGUAAGCGGAAUUCCUAGUGUAGCGGUGAAAUGCGUAGAUAUUAGGAGGAACACCAGUGGCGAAGGCGGCUUACUGGACUGUAACUGACGUUGAGGCUCGAAAGCGUGGGGAGCAAACAGGAUUAGAUGCCCUGGUAGUCCACGCCGUAAACGAUGAUUACUAGGUGUCGGUGGGUAUGGACCC